rnacentral:tRNA from 1 species
CAUUAAAUGACUGAUAAUAGUAUUGAUCUUUUAAAUCAAAUUAUAAUAGAAUUACCAUCCUAUUUUUAAUGG